ensembl:lncRNA
GAGAGAGAGAGAGAGAGAGAGAGAGAGAGAGAGAGAGAGAGAGAUUGGACAGAGGGUAUACUGUCCAUGGCCUGUCCACUGUGUUCCACUGCUGUGGUUGAGAUGGACCUCUGGCAGUCACUUGUAUCCCCUCCCUAUUUCAGCAUCUCACCAAUAUGCAGUUGGAAACCAGACUCAAUUCCUCCACAAAGGACCACGGCUCGAACCUUAGAGUGGGGGCCUCUUUUUUUUCUGUCUGGGGUUGAGAGAGGAGGUGUUUUGUACGGGGAAACCCUCCUAAUCCCUGUGAACUCACACCAAACCCGGCUGUGACGGCUGAAGAGAACCGUGCAUCUCUGUAGGCCGCUCUACAUUGCUCUGUUCUUUCAAUAGUCUGUCUUCCCUUCGUGUAAGGAGUUGGGACAGGCCUGGGAAAACAUUUCUGACUGUUUUCUCUGUCAUGAUGGCAUAUUAUAUUACACAGUCUUUUUAAUCAAAGCUAGCUUUAACACUGCUUUCUUGAGGUUUGUGAAACCCUUUCUUUAUUUUUAAGAAUGCUAUUUGUUGUUGCCUCUCGUAGAAUUCAUGAAGUGUAGAAAAGCUAGGUGUAAUCAUUUCACAAUACCUAGACCAAUGGACAGGCUAACAACUGAGGAACAGUCUCAAUGGUAGUAGUUCUAGUGCUGCAUUUACUGUAGAUGACAGCUUUACGUGUUGUCUCCUAACUCUCAUUAAUAAAUGUGCCAAUUACUAAUGCAUAAACUAUUUAGUCCAGACUUCAUGUACAGUAUAUUGUGCGUAAAGUACCUUCUAAGAUUAUACAACCAUUAUUAUUAUCAUUAGAAAUGAACUUUCUCAGUAUUAUACUGACUCUAUGGUAACAGGAUAAAUGGAAAGGAGGCGUGAACCCACAUUGUCAGGCAGACCAAUAACCUGCUCUGGUACCGAUUGCCUUCCAACCAGAGCAUUGAGAGACUCAGGAAUGCAGCUGUGGCACAUGGCCCUACUAGUGCUGUAUAAAACCUUAGAGUGGACAGACACUUCUUGGCAUGGGUAUUUACUGAGCAUAUGUUGCUCAUCUGCUGGGUAGAUGGGUCCCACUCAGCUCAGUAGAGUACUCCUUCAUAUGUUUAGUACAGUGAGUAAGGACAUGUAGUAAGAUAGCAGUGAAGAUGUGUAACAGCUCUCUUGUUGAGCGAUGUGUAACAGCUCUCUGUAUGCUGGCUCAGCUCACAGCUUGCCUGACCUAUCGGAGACUUUACCGAUGGACCCACAGUAGAGCUGGUAACGUCUCAUGCCAAUGAUGCAGCUGCAUUCUUGACUCUUCAAAUGGAAAUACAAUAAUCAUUUAUUUUUCUUUCAUAAUUUACUAUAUUUUUGUUUUCUUCGCAAAACCUGAGUAGUUGAGUGACUAAAAUAAGCUCUUAAGUAUGUAGUGAAUUAUUUGUUUGUUUGUCAACUUUGUUUUUAUCAUUCUGUACGUGCAAUAUCUUCGUACUGAUUUUGUACAUUCAGAACAAGCAAAGGGUCCCUUCUGUUUGUUUUGUAUGUUUUCAUGUUGUCGUUAUUUAUUUAUUUAGUUCGGACCCCUGUCGUUCUCUCUCAGUGGCUUAAUGUGUGGUUGUUCUCAUGGUUCUCUGAGAAGCACAGUCCUGGAAUUCAGUGGAAUGUCUAAUAAGUGAUGUUGCAUGUAAUGUUAUUGAUGUGAGGCUAUCCUCUCCACAUUCUAUAACAAAUCAGUGUUACCGUAGCGAUUAAAGUGCUAUCACGUUAAAAAAAAAAAAAAUGUAGGCCUUCUACGGGUUCAAGUCUGUUAUCAUGUUGUCCAGGAAGAGAUUCAGGUGAAAAAUAUAUAUUUUUCAUUUCAGAUUAUGUACUUACUUACACAAUUCACGGUGGAAGGAAAGAGGAAUGUGUGUAUAUAUUUUAAAAAGGAAUUUGCUUCCCUCUGGGCAGAAAAUAACUAUUUUGCUGGAUAAGCACAUAUGAAGGAGCGCUUUCAUUUUUUUCAGGAAAUCUGAAAAAAUGUAGAUCUAAUUUACAGCAAAGAAAUGCAAAUGGAACAAAGGAACUGGGAUAUAUGUAAAAUAACUUUCUACAUUCUACAAAAUAAGAGUCUAUUAUCAUGUGUACAUUAGAGUCAACUGUUUCUCCCAAUAUUCAGGGUGUAAAUGUAUUUUAACAUUCACUAAGGAAACUGAAACCAUAAGACUAGAUUCAACACGUGUCCCUUCAUAUUAGAGCCAUGAUAUUAUAACAAAACAUAAGGACAUUUAGACAGAUAAACAUAUCUUAUCUGGAACAUGAAUAAUCACUUGAAUGUCUUUCUAAUAAUGUCAUAUUUUCCUUUUGUAACUCAGAAAUGGUCGGACAACAUAAAAAAAGAAUGAAAAAAAGAAGGAAAUGUCCACAUUGAUCUACAGUCUGAGAAGUACCCCCACAAUGCACUGCAUGGACCUGAUGCAUCGUGUGUCCUUUUCACUGUGAGCUUGCUGACCAGGUCAGCCUGUAAAGUUGAUUGACUUUAUUUCCUUUCCUUUGGUUUAGAUCUGGAAUCUUCUGAUGUUGACUUGCUCUUGCUGUCCCACAUUAAGCUGAUUGUUACUUGAGCUCAGCAUGCAUUUAUUUCAUCUGCAUAUACAUAGCCAUUGUAAAAAGAACAAAACAUUAACACCGUUGCACUUCUGUUAUUAUUGAGCCGAGGGCUACGGUUGUGUAAAUAGGAGAGUAGAAGUGUUGAUUAUGGAAUUCUAAAAAAGAUGGUUUUAUCUAAAAUGAAGAUUAGAAGGGACCAAGUGGGAGAAAAGGGAUAUGUACAUAGUGUGUAUAUUAUCACUACUGUAAUCCAACAUCUGCCGUGGAGAUCAGGGGGGUGUGUCCGUCACCUUAUGAGAGGUGGAAAAUAUAUGAUUCAGAACAUAUCGCUUGUCUCUGCCUCCAACUGUACUGGACUGUCAUUCGCUGUGGAUCUCAAAGACAGACUGUUAUAAUGUUCACUGCCUACUAAACACACACACACAGGCACACAGACACACACACUCAUCAAAGGGAAAGACAAGAGUGGCCUCAUUUCUAUGUGCAUUCAAGUUUGUCCAGUGAGUAGUGAGUCAGUAAGACCCCAGUUAUUGUAAAACUUCAACUGUGACAAUGUUGACAACGCUAAAUAAACAAAUAUAUGACUUAUGGUA